CCUACGGGAGGCAGCAGUGAGGAAUAUUGGUCAAUGGGCGAGAGCCUGAACCAGCCAAGUCGCGUGAAGGAUGAAGGAUCUAUGGUUUGUAAACUUCUUUUAUAUGGGAGUAAAGUGAGGAACGUGUUCCUUUUGUAUGUAUCAUAUGAAUAAGCAUCGGCUAACUCCGUGCCAGCAGCCGCGGUAAUACGGAGGAUGCGAGCGUUAUCCGGAUUUAUUGGGUUUAAAGGGUGCGUAGGUGGUUAAUUAAGUCAGCGGUGAAAGUUUGUGGCUCAACCAUAAAAGUGCCGUUGAAACUGGUUGACUUGAGUAUAUUUGAGGUAGGCGGAAUGCGUGGUGUAGCGGUGAAAUGCAUAGAUAUCACGCAGAACUCCGAUUGCGAAGGCAGCUUACUAAACUAUAACUGACACUGAAGCACGAAAGCGUGGGGAUCGAACAGGAUUAGAUACCCCUGUAGUC
rnacentral:rRNA from 1 species